GACUCCUAUGUAUAUACGCUCGUCAUUGGAGGGUUCUACAAACGAUCGAAAUUAGUCACGACUUUGUGCGUGGCUCAUCGCCGAUAAGAGGAAGGUGGAAGCACCGAAGGUGUUGGCUACGAGGGGUUGCAAAAUAACAGAUUUCCCAGACGCACGCACCCUCUCUACUUUAGCAUUUCAACUUCGGAGCUAUCGCGAAAAGGACCAAGCUCGAAAGAGGAGGAGGAAGACGUAGAGAAAGGCCGGGGAAUGGGAGGAGAAGAAAGCUUUUCUUUUCCUCGACUUUUCUCCUACCUUCGCCCUUCGAGUCCCUUCUAACGAGACGUGGCAAAGUUCUCGGAGGUAUGUAUAUAAGAGAGAACGACGGUAGUUCCUCGUGGGUCAGCCCGUUGCUCCUGAAAGGACCCUUCUACCCCUGACUCUGCUGCUGCUGCUGCUGCUGCUACUGCUGCUGAUUAAGGCAUA